UCAAUGUGGCAAUUAUGAACGAAGCUGAUAUAAACAUCCAUCUGCGGGUUUUUGUGUAGACAUAAAUCUUUAACUUACUUGGAUAAAUGUGUGUUAAUACAGAAAUAAAUAGGCUGGACGCGGUGGCUCACACCUGUAAUCCCAGCGCUUUGGGAGGCCGAGGCAGGCAGAUCACGAGGUCGGGAGAUCGAGACCAUCCUUGCUAAUACGGUGAAAGCCCGUCUCUACUAAAAAUACAAAAAAAUUUAGCUGGGCGUGGUGGCGGGCACCUGUAAUCCCUAAUCCCAGCUACUCGGGAGGCUGAGGCAGGAGAAUGGCGUGAACCCGGGAGGCAGAGGUUCAGUGAGCCUCUAGCGCCACUGCACUCCAGCGUGGGCGACAGAGCGAGACUCCAUCUCAACAAACAAAUAAAUAAAUAAAUAAAUAAAUAAAUAAAUAAAAAUAAUGUCCUGAUUCUUCUUACAUGGCAAAUCUAGUACAAUCUUCUUUUUUGAGAUGGAGUUUCACUCUCAUUGCCCAGGCUGGA
rnacentral:lncRNA from 10 species